rnacentral:tRNA from 1 species
GGGAAGAUGGCUCAGUGGUUAAGAGCACUGGCUGCUCUUCCAGAGGACCUGGGUUCAAUUCCCAGCACCCA